CCUACGGGGGGCAGCAGUGGGGAAUAUUGGGCAAUGGACGCAAGUCUGACCCAGCAACGCCGCGUGAAGGAAGAAGGCUUUCGGGUUGUAAACUUCUUUUAAGGGGGAAGAGCAGAAGACGGUACCCCUUGAAUAAGCCACGGCUAACUACGUGCCAGCAGCCGCGGUAAUACGUAGGUGGCAAGCGUUGUCCGGAUUUACUGGGUGUAAAGGGCGUGCAGCCGGAGAGACAAGUCAGAUGUGAAAUCCACGGGCUCAACCCGUGAACUGCAUUUGAAACUGUUUCCCUUGAGUGUCGGAGAGGUAAUUGGAAUUUCUUGGGGAGGGGGGAAAUGCGUAGGUAAAAGGAAGAAAAACAGGGGGGAAGGCGGAUUACUGGACGAUAAAUGACGGUGAGGCGCGAAAGCGUGGGGAGGAAACAGGAUUAGAUACCCCAGUAGUC
rnacentral:rRNA from 1 species